rnacentral:rRNA from 1 species
UACGUAGGGACCGAGCGUUGUCCGGAAUCAUUGGGCGUAAAGAGCGUGUAGGCGGCUUGUUAAGUCUUGCGUGAAAUCUCGGGGGCUCAACCCCGAGCGGUCGUGAGAAACUGGCAGGCUAGAGUGCGGUAGGGGAGAUUGGAAUUCCUGGUGUAGCGGUGGAAUGCGCAGAUAUCAGGAGGAACACCGAUGGCGAAGGCAGAUCUCUGGGCCGUAACUGACGCUGAGGAGCGAAAGCAUGGGGAGCGAACAGG